GAUGAACGCUAGCGACAGGCUUAACACAUGCAAGUCGAGGGGCAGCGGGGCUUUCGGGCCGCCGGCGACCGGCGCACGGGUGAGUAACACGUAUGCAACCUGCCCGCAACACGGGGAUAACCCGGGGAAACCCGGACUAAUACCCGAUAAUACAGGGGUACCACAUGGUAAUAUUUGUUAAAGAUUUAUCGGUUGCGGAUGGGCAUGCGCGGGAUUAGUUAGUUGGUAAGGUAACGGCUUACCAAGACUACGAUCCUUAGGGGAACUGAGAGGUUUAUCCCCCACACCGGUACUGAGACACGGACCGGACUCCUACGGGAGGCAGCAGUGAGGAAUAUUGGUCAAUGGGCGCGAGCCUGAACCAGCCAAGUCGCGUGAAGGAAGACGGUAUUAUGUAUUGUAAACUUCUUUUAUAGGGGAAUAAAGUGCGGGAUGCGUCCUGUUUUGUAUGUACCCUAUGAAUAAGCAUCGGCUAACUCCGUGCCAGCAGCCGCAGUAACAC
rnacentral:rRNA from 1 species